rnacentral:sRNA from 1 species
AAGUGUCAAAGGCAACUGUCUACCCACAUGCCCUUCAUGAGUUUAGUCUUCUGUUGUUGUCCUGCUUCUUCUGUAUUCUGAGCCUGUAUUUCUUUCUGGAGCCAGCCACGGAGACUUUCUGCAGGUCGAGGAUUUAUGCUGUUGCUGCUUUGUUUGUGCCCAUACAUCCACUCUUUCAGGAGACGUUAGGAUCCAUAGAGCCUGUCCGACCUGGCCCGAAUAACCAAACACGCGCCCGACGCAACCCAAGAAUAUGGGACAAUCACGACGCCCUCGAGACCCGGAGAAGAAGAGCCGCGGGUUCGGACGGUCGAGGCAUGGUGAGGGCGGGGCAGGGGGAAAACCUCAGGUUAAAAAGGCCGUAUUCGAAAGCACAAAAAAGAAGGAGGUUGGAGUGUCAGAUCUCACGCUCCUCAGCAAAGUAUCGAAUGAGGCCAUAAAUGAGAACUUGAAAAAGAGAUUUGAACAUGGCGAAAUUUACACAUACAUCGGUCAUGUCCUUGUCUCUGUGAACCCAUUUAGAGACCUGGGUAUCUAUACCGACAAGGUCCUUGAUUCCUACCGCGGCAAAAACCGACUUGAAGUUCCCCCACAUGUUUUCGCUGUCGCUGAAGCAGGAUAUUAUAACAUGAAAGCAUACAAGGAAAAUCAAUGUGUCAUUAUCUCGGGCGAAUCCGGUGCUGGAAAAACCGAAGCUGCAAAGCGCCUGAUGCAGUAUAUUGCGAAUGUGUCAGGUGGCAGCGAUUCUUCCAUCCAGCAUACCAAAGACAUGGUUCUGGCGACUAACCCUCUUCUCGAGUCCUUCGGUAAUGCGAAGACCUUGCGGAAUAAUAACUCGUCGCGGUUCGGAAAAUAUCUAGAAUUACAAUUCAAUUCUGUUGGUGAGCCUGUCGGCGCCACGAUUACAAAUUAUCUCCUGGAGAAAUCUAGAGUCGUUGGGCAAAUCACGAAUGAACGAAACUUCCAUAUAUUUUAUCAAUUCACUAAAGCUUCACCGCAGACCUAUAGAGAUAACUUUGGCAUCCAACAACCGCAGUCUUAUGUGUAUACAAGCCGCUCCAAAUGUUUUGAUGUCCCAGGCAUAGAUGAUACUACUGAUUUCAAAGAUACAUUAAAAGCCAUGAACAUCAUUGGUUUAUCCCAAGCCGAACAAGAUAAUAUCUUCCGCAUUCUGUCAGCUAUUUUAUGGCUCGGAAAUAUGCAAUUUAUCGAAGAUGACAGUUCCAACGUUUCAAUAACGGAUCAAUCGGUGGUGGAUUUCGUCGCCUACUUAUUAGAAGUUGAUGCCGCUGCCGUGAACAAGGCCCUUACGUUGAGAAUUAUGGAAACUGCCCGAGGCGGGCGCAGGGGUUCCGUGUAUGAGGUUCCUUUGAACGUUGUCCAAGCCACUGCUGUUCGAGACGCACUCGCAAAAGCCCUUUAUUUUAACAUGUUUGAUUGGAUUGUUCAGCGAGUUAAUGCCUCACUUGCAGCUAGGGGCUCUGUGGAAAACUCCAUCGGUAUCCUGGAUAUUUAUGGGUUCGAGAUUUUUGAGAAAAACUCUUUCGAACAACUCUGUAUCAACUACGUCAACGAAAAGCUACAGCAAAUCUUCAUCCAGCUUACCUUAAAGACGGAACAAGAGGAAUACGCUCGCGAGCAAAUCAAGUGGACUCCCAUUACAUACUUUGAUAACAAAGUUGUGUGUUCCUUGAUUGAAGAUAAACGACCACCUGGGAUUUUCGCCGCAUUGAAUGACGCUUGUGCAACUGCACAUGCUGACUCCGGCGCGGCUGAUCAGACGUUUGUAGGAAGGCUGAAUUUCCUUAGUCAAAAUCCAAACUUCGAGUCCAGGCAGGGCCAAUUUAUUGUAAAGCAUUAUGCUGGCGACGUUGGCUACACUGUGGACGGAAUGACGGACAAAAAUAAGGAUCAACUAUUGAAAGACUUGCUUAAUCUAGUGGGCUCGAGUAGUAACCGCUUCAUGCAUACACUCUUCCCCAACCAGGUUAAUCAGGACGACAAGCGUCGGCCGCCAACUGCCGGCGACAAGAUUAAAGCAUCUGCAAACGACCUCGUUGCGACUUUAAUGAAGGCACAACCGUCAUACAUCAGAACUAUAAAACCGAACGACAACAAGUCACCAUCCGAGUACAAUGUUGGCAAUGUGAUGCAUCAAAUCAAAUAUCUUGGUCUACAGGAGAACGUCCGAAUUCGCAGAGCGGGGUUCGCCUACCGCCAAACUUUUGACAAGUUUGUCGAGCGCUUCUACCUGUUGUCACCGAAGACUUCAUAUGCUGGAGAUUACACCUGGACUGGGGACGCUGAAUCGGGGGCGAGGCAGAUCCUGAAAGACACUAGCAUCCCCGCAGACGAAUAUCAGAUGGGUACUACAAAAGCUUUCAUAAAAACCCCUGAGACCCUGUUCGCACUUGAACACAUGCGGGAUAGAUACUGGCAUAACAUGGCCAUCCGUAUUCAGCGAGCUUGGCGAAAUUACCUCCGAUACCGAAUUGAAUGUGCUAUCCGAAUCCAAAGGUUCUGGAGACGGGUCACGGGAGGGCUGGAAUAUAUCAAACUCCGAGACCAGGGCCACAGAAUUCUUGGUGGAAUGAAGGAAAGACGAAGAUACAGUCUUGUUGGCUCGCGAAGAUUCCUUGGUGAUUAUCUUGGAGUUGGAAACAAUGGAGGCCCUGGAGAAAUGAUCAGGGAUUCCAUUCGCAUUAGCAAAUCCGAAACUAUUUUAUUCUCCUGCCGCUGUGAGCUCCUUGUCACCAAAUUCGGUCGUUCAAGUAAACCUUCUCCACGAAUUUUAAUUCUAACAUCAAACAAUGUUUACAUUGUCGUCCAAAGCGUCGUAAAUAAUCAAUUGAAUAUUUCCGCGGAAAGAACAAUAUCCAUCGGUGCAAUCAAGUUCGUCAGCGCGUCCAAAUUGAAAGAUGACUGGUUUGCUCUUGGAGUUGGUUCUCCCCAGGAGCCCGAUCCCCUUAUCAGCUGUGUAUUUAAGACAGAAUUUUUUGCAUACCUCUCCAAUGCGCUGCGCGGCCAACUCAACCUCAAGGUCGCCGACACUAUCGAAUAUAAUAAGAAGCCAGGCAAGUUGGCAGUAAUAAAGACAAUGAAAGAUCCAGCAAUUGCUCGUGAUGAUCUGUAUAAAAGUGGGACAAUCCACACCAGUCAAGGAGAACCACCAAAUUCUGUAUCAAAACCAACUCCAAGACCGAAGCAAGUUGCUGGCAAGCCCAUAACCAAAGGCAAAUUGCUCCGACCCGGUGGACCUGGAGGAGCGCCGUCAAAACUGGCGUCGCGACCAGCUGCUUCAAAGCCAACACCCACACCUCAACCUCUACCGAAUGCUAUCCCCAAAGCCACAGGUAUGAGUUCUCGACCCGCACCGGAGGCUGCAAUGCCCGUUGGUGCCAACUCCUCCAGCCAUACCAGAAAUACCUCAGGACAAGCUCGAGCACCUCCUCCACCACCUCCUCCGGCCGCACCGCCAGCAGCCAAAAAAGAUACCGCCAAGGUUUUGUAUGACUUCAACAGUGAGCGCUCUAACGAGCUUUCUGUCCGCAAAGGCGAAAUUGUCCAAAUAAUGGCAAAAGAAGGAAAUGCUGGUGGCUUUGCAUGAACACCACAACCUCCGCACAAGGCUGGGCUCCCGAGGCCUACCUAGAAGAGAUUGUAGUCCCGAUCCUCGCUGCGGCCGCUCCCCCGCCACCUCCACCACCUCCUGCAGCGCCUAGAGCAGUCACGCUUUCCAACGUGAACCCCGUAAACGCCGUCGUAACCAACGGCGCUUCUCGCGCUGCCGCGAAAGCCAAACCUACCCCACCAGCUCCACCGGCCAAACGGCCAAUCGCCAGUCGCAAGCCGGCGCCAUCCCCCGCCCCGCGAGACAGUGCGGUAAGCAUGAACUCGCACGACUCGUCGGGCGGGAGUGGCCGUGCCACGCCAAAUAGUAUGAAUAGUGCUAGCUUCGCGGGCGGGCUCGCGGAGGCGUUGAGGCAGAGGCAGAGUGCGAUGAAGCCGCAGGACGGUGACGAUUGGUAGAUGCCUGGAUGAGUGAGUGUGGCUGGCGCAUUAUUUUAUACGUACAUUUCCGAUAGAUAGUUAUGUUGCAUGAUUUUCUUUUUCGUCGUAUUUAUUUUCUGCUCUACUUUGGGUUUUUCUUGCCGCCAUCGCAUUUGUUUCUUUUAUUGUUUUCCUUUUUUCUUUUUAGUUUUUAUUUUUCUUCUAAACUCCGCCCCUUGCCUUCGCUCCUCUUCAAUUAUAUUAUAACAUUAUCCUGGAUCCCCGAUUUGUACGUCUCCCCCUUUACGCCUUUUCAGACGAUUAAGAUUUUUACGCAGAAAGACGUAGCGAGUUUCACAUUGCAGUUAGAUCCAGACGCUGAAAAUUGAAAAAGUAAUGGUGAUGCCCGUCCGUAUUAGCACAUUCGUUGAUUCUUACUUUUAUUUUAUGCCAUGAAAAUUCCCUCUUUUUGUUAUCAUGAGAGGAUAGGCAUGAAGCACCCAAGGAAUUAUACUUCGUUUACAUUUUCUCUCAUUGCUUUUUACAUCUCCAAACCGUGAAAUAUCCAAAAAGUAGUCAAUUCCUACAUGAGAUGUAGUAUCUAUAUCUGAUGCUGCAUUGAACUAUACGCAUGUUUUUGAGAGCUUAUUGCCAUUGUGAUAAACAUGUUGGCAGCACGGAGGCACAUAUAAUUACUUCUUCACCUCCGCAAACGCCUCCUUCAUCGCAACAAUAGCUUUAUCAAUAUCAUCUCGUCCGGGAUCCAUCACGCUAACCCCCAUAUGCCCAAAGCGGAUGUAUUUGCUUGCCAUAUCCUUAUGUAAGCCCCCGGCAAACACAACGCCCUUCUUGGCGAGCACCGGCAGGAUAUCCGGCGGCGUCAUGCCCUCUGGU